GGUCAAGCCUACGGUGACAUCCAGCUUGAAAUGAGCGAGAACAUACGAAAAGAAAGAGCAAAAGACAAGAAAGUAAAACCAACCAAAGCACAGAAAGACGACGACGAGCCAACCUAUGAAAACACCGUCGUCAGGAACUAGUCGUUUUCAUAACUAUAGCUACUGAUUUCAUCACGUGACCUGGGCACAUAUCUGCAUCAAUCGUCAGGAACUAGGAUAGUGACAUCAUCACAUGACCUGGCCACAUAUCUGCAUCAGCGAUUAGUAUUUACCAUAAUGUAUGUUAGCAUGUGCAUGCCUAUCUGU